rnacentral:rRNA from 1 species
UACGUAGGUGGCAAGCGUUGUCCGGAAUUAUUGGGCGUAAAGCGCGCGCAGGCGGUCCUUUAAGUCUGAUGUGAAAGCCCACGGCUCAACCGUGGAGGGUCAUUGGAAACUGGGGGACUUGAGUACAGAAGAGAAGAGUGGAAUUCCACGUGUAGCGGUGAAAUGCGUAGAGAUGUGGAGGAACACCAGUGGCGAAGGCGGCACGCUGGGCCAUAACUGACGCUAAGACUCGAAAGCAUGGGUAGCGAACGGG